AUUCGUGGCUACGAGGAUAGAACGCGUGGGCGGCGUGCAAUAACACAUUCAAGUCGAACGAAGCGCAGAGACGGAAGUCCUUCGGGGGCGGAAGAUUCUGUGACUUAGUGGCGGACGGGUGAGUAACGCGUGAGCAACCUGCCUGUGAUAGAGGGAUAACACAUGGAAACGUGUGCUAAUACCACAUGAAGCGGAGAUAUCGCAUGGUAAUUCCGUUAAAAGAUUUAUCGAUCGCAGAUGGGCUCGCGUAUGAUUAGGCAGUUGGUGAGGUAACGGCUCACCAAACCGACGAUCAUUAGCCGAACUGAGAGGUUGAACGGCCACAUUGGAACUGAGAAACGGUCCAGACUCCUACGGGAGGCAGCAGUGGGGAAUAUUGGGCAAUGGGCGAAAGCCCUGACCCAGCGACGCCGCGUGAGGGAAGAAGGUCUUCGGAUUGUAAACCUCUUUCAGUAGGGAAGAAGAAAGUGACGGUACCUACAGAAGAAGUCACGGCUAACUACGUGCCAGCCGCCGC
rnacentral:rRNA from 1 species